CGUCUGAUCCAAACACACGAUUAACCUUUAUACGUUUUUAUGGGCGGAGCCAUAACUUCAUCCCUGGCCUGAGCCUGCAGCCGAUUGGCUCGCACAGUCUGCGGUCCGCAACGUUUCAUUCAAGCUAAUCUAGAAACUAUUGUGGUCAUUUUGUUUUCAAUUUUUCCUGUAUUUUUUCCGUUUUUCUGUUGCGUCCGCCAUGUAAUUCUGUUGUCAGCCUAUAGCUGGGUCAUUACUGUUGUGGAAGUAGCUUGUGUUUACCGUUUGUAGAAGCGAGGAGAGAAAGCUUUUAUUGGAUGGUGGUGUGAUGCAGUUGCCAUGUCCUGAAUCCCUUUCAGAAGGGUGGGAGGUCUCCCCAGCAAGUUUGCCAGACACAAUAAGGGCCCACAGUUACAUCAAGACUGCUGGACGCAAAGUUGGGCAGCAUAACACUGAUGGCAUGAGAACUGUAGGACUUGGCAAAGGUCUUUAUGUGUCUUGACCAUGUGAAAGGCAUGGCUUACCAUGGCAUCAGUGCAAACAUCAGCUAUUGUUUUGUACAGGGAAAGGUCAUACUACUGACCAAAACCAAUAAAGAUCCAUAUUUUGCAUGGGUGGUGCUGAACAAGGCCAGCGCGCAAGUUGUAACAGCAGAGUGUACCUGUGUAGUUGGGAUCCAAGCUGGAUGCAAGCAUGUUGCAGCACUCUUUAUUUGCCAUAGUUGAAGCAGUGGAACAGGGGCGCAACAGCUCUUCAACUUCACAGAAUAUGGUGUGGAAUGCUCCUCCAAAAAAGGGUGACAAGGUUCAUAAGGCUAAAUUUGCUGAGUACAUUAAAAUUGUCCGUGUAAAGUAAGAUCUCGCAUUGCAGAACACUGAAGCAAGUAAUUGUGAUACAGGUCCAAAUAUGAUCCACGGGUAAUUAUAGACAGGGUUUCCCAUCCUAUUUCUGAUUUUGACUUGGAUUGUUUGGCCCAUAUUACUAAUUGAAAAACUGGACUGCUAAUGUACUCACAAGUGCAGCUUGACCCAUCUCGAGAGACACUCGACAUUUCAGAAGUGGAGAAACAUGUUGAUAAUAGCAUGACUGAGGAAGUACUAACAGUGAGUGAAGCAUUCUCCAGAAUUGAACCCGACUCUAGGCCUAUAAGUGAGCAGGUUAUUGGCAAUUUCAUAAUAAACCAGCACCAGCAGCAACUGCUUGCACAUGCCACAUCACAGCAGAAAUCAAGUGAAAAAUGGUAUGAACACAGGAAGGGAAGCAUCACUUCUAGUACGGCAGGAGAUUGUGCCGCUGCAGUAACUGGGAUUCCUCCCAAACUAAAAGCUUCUCAUUCCUGUGUAGCACGUAUCAUGGGGUAUUAUGGCAACCCUACAUCCCCAGCCCUGCAGUGGGGAAGGUAUUGCAAAGCAAUAGCCAGAAAACACUAUUUAGCACACCACUAAUUACAUAAGAAACAUUCAGGUGUGUCAUGUACAGACACUGGACUUUAGGUGAGCUUAAGGUUUCUGUAUGUUGCAGGAUCACCAGAUGGGAUCGUCAGUUGCAAAAAAUGUGGCCAUGGUCUUGUUGGAAUAAAAACCCCUUUCACUCAUUAAAGACACAUGACAAUAAGUGAACUUGUGAAAAGGAGGAAUCAUCUGGACUCAUUAGUGAUAAUGAGGUAGUACAUUUAGACGGGCUCCACAAAUAUGAUGUCCAAAUUCAAAUCCAGCUACUUACAAAAAUGAGUGGUGUGAUUUUGUUGUUCACACAAGUUCACCCUCUGACAACAUGCAUGCUGAGCGAAUUCUUUUUGAUGACCAAUACUUAAAUGUGUUAAUGCCUGAAUGGAGUUUCUUCUUUUCCAAUGCAAUUGUUCCAGAAUUGUGGACUGGAAAUGUCUAAGAACAAGUACUUAAGAAUGCAGUACAGAAAACGAUGGAAAAUGCAUGUAUGCUAAAGAUGCUCGACGAAUCCACAUUAACAGCAAUGUCAGUGGGUGGUUCUCGUUAUCCAUGUGGGAUUUGUGGGGAAGAUUGUGAGGGAGAUCCCAUUGAUGAUAGUCACUAAAGUAUUAAAUGUGACAAAUGUUACUUAUGGUAUCAUUAUUCCUGCAUAGGACUUACUGGCCAAGAAGUCUCCUUAGGUAGAAGAAAAUCGAAAUGGAAAUGUGACAAGUGCAAGAAAGAGUCACAAAAACAUAAAAUGUGUGUACGUUCAGGAGAUUGAUGUAUCUUCACAAGUCAUAUCAGGAAUUGUUGUCACAUCAUCAUACAUUUCUUUAGUAAUUUCAAGUACAGUACAGUUCCACGGUCACAAUGACAAUGUUGUAUGGAAUAAAACUACAAAUUUGUUUUCAUAAUUUACGAAUUAUAUUAUGUGAUAAACAUGGUUAAUCUUUGCAUUUUGAAAAUUUCAAACAUUGCACUGGAUUUUAAAUCAGCUUUAUGUACUGUACGUACACUUAGUUUUCCCACAUAGUGCAAGAACUGUAACAGGAAAUACAUGUAUGCACUUAGGAGUUAGGAAAUAUUCAUGCAAAAAGGAUGGACUAUACAUGUUCAUUUAACACUAUCUCUUCAGAGAAAUUACCCUUUUUUUUAAGAAGUCCACAUAAGAAAAUGGCCAUUAUUUGAAGUUGUAUGGAUUUUUUUGCAGUGUGAAUAUGAAUUCCUCAUCUGUAAAUAUGUGCAUAUACAUGUAAUCAUGACUGCUGAAAUACCAUCAUUGUAUUUCCUUUACCAUUGAUGGCAAGUGGAAUGACCAUGUACACAUAUGUCUUUACCAUAAGUAACCUGUACUUCCUGACAAUACAGCAAAUUUGUAUGUUAACUAUCACAGUUUUGAUAAAAUAUAUUGUUUAUGAACUAAUAGAAUUACAUAAAAACCCUGUGCAAUCAGAUUGAAAUAUGUGCACAUUUGCUUGAAUAAAACAGUAGACAAGACGUGAAA
rnacentral:lncRNA from 1 species